CCUACGAGAGGCAGCAGUGAGGAAUAUUGGUCAAUGGCCGGAAGGCUGAACCAGCCAAGCCGCGUGAAGGACGAAGGUGCCAAGCAUUGUAAACUUCUUUUGUCAAGGGACAAAAUCAGGCUCUAGAGCCUGACCGAGGGUACUUGAAGAAAAAGCAUCGGCUAACUCCGUUCCAGCAGCCGCGGUAAUAGGGAGGAUGCGAGCGUUGUCCGGAUUUUUGGGGGUUAAAGGGUGCGUAGGCGGACUGUUAAGUCAGUGGUAAAAGCCCGGGGCUCAACCCCGUCGAGCCGUUGAAACUGGCUGUCUUGAGUGGGCGAGAGGUAUGCGGAAUGCGUGGUGUAGCGGUGAAAUGCGUAGAUAUCACGAAGAACUCCGAUUGCGAAGGCAGCAUACCGGAGCCCGACUGACGCUGAGGCACGAAAGCGUGGGUAUCGAAUAGGAUUAGAUACCCGAGUAGUC
rnacentral:rRNA from 1 species